rnacentral:rRNA from 1 species
GGGGUAUCGUAGGCGGACGACCAUCAGUCGGCGGAGGAGCAUAUCAAUAAGCGGAGGAGCAUAUCAAUAGGCGGAGGAGCAUAGCAAUAAGCGGAGGAUUAUAUCAAUAGGCGGAGGCCCGCCUAAAACACCCUCGAACUCUGUCUGAAGAUUGAAGUCUGAGUGAAAAUAUAAAUUAUUUAAAACUUUCAACAACGGAUCUCUUGGUUCCGGCAUCGAUGAAGAACGCAGCGAAAUGCGAUACGUAAUGUGAAUUGCAAAUUCAGUGAAUCAUCGAGUCUUUGAACGCACAUUGCGCCCCCUGGUAUUCCGGGGGGCAUGCCUGUCCGAGCGUCAUUGCUGCCCUCAAGCCCGGCUUGUGUGUUGGGCCCCGUCCCCCGAUCUCCGGGGGACGGGCCCGAAAGGCAGCGGCGGCACCGCGUCCGGUCCUCGAGCGUAUGGGGCUUUGUCACCCGCUCUGUAGGCCCGGCCGGCGCUUGCCGAUCAACCCAAAUUUUUAUCCAGGUUGACCUCGGAUCAGGUAGGGAUACCCGCUGAACUUAAGCAUAUCAAUAAGCGGACGAACC